GACGAACGCUGGCGGCGUGCUUAACACAUGCAAGUCGAACGGAAAGACCCUGCUUUUGUGGGGUGCUCGAGUGGCGAACGGGUGAGUAACACGUGAGUAACCUGCCCUUGACUUUGGGAUAACUUCAGGAAACUGGGGCUAAUACCGGAUAGGAGCUCCUGCUGCAUGGUGGGGGUUGGAAAGUUUCGGCGGUUGGGGAUGGACUCGCGGCUUAUCAGCUUGUUGGUGGGGUAGUGGCUUACCAAGGCUUUGACGGGUAGCCGGCCUGAGAGGGUGACCGGCCACAUUGGGACUGAGAUACGGCCCAGACUCCUACGGGAGGCAGCAGUGGGGAAUAUUGCAUAAUGGGCGGAAGCCUGAUGCAGCAACGCCGCGUGCGGGAUGACGGCCUUCGGGUUGUAAACCGCUUUCGCCUGUGACGAAGCGUGAGUGACGGUAAUGGGUAAAGAAACACCGGCUAACUACGUG
rnacentral:rRNA from 1 species